rnacentral:rRNA from 1 species
AGUGAACGCUGGCGGUAGGCCUAACACAUGCAAGUCGAACGGCAGCACAGUAAGAGCUUGCUCUUACGGGUGGCGAGUGGCGGACGGGUGAGGAAUACAUCGGAAUCUACUUUUUCGUGGGGGAUAACGUAGGGAAACUUACGCUAAUACCGCAUACGACCUACGGGUGAAAGCAGGGGAUCUUUGGACCUUGCGCGAUUGAAUGAGCCGUUGUCGGAUUAGCUAAUUGGCGGGGUAAAGGCCCACCAAGGCGACGAUCCGUAGCUGGUCUGAGAGGAUGAUCGGCCUCACUAUGACUCGGACACGGUACAGACUCCUACGGGAGGCAGAAGAUGGGAAUUUUGGGCAUAGGGCGGAAGUCUGACCCAGUCAUGCCGCGUGUGUGAAGAAGACCUUCGGGUUGUAAAGAACUUUUGUUGGGAAAGAACAGCUGCAGGUUCAUACCAAGCUGUUCUGACGGUACCCAAAGAAUAAGCACCGGCUAACUUCGUG